rnacentral:rRNA from 1 species
GGAAUAUUGGUCAAUGGAGGCAACUCUGAACCAGCCAUGCCGCGUGCAGGAUGACGCAUCUAUGGUGUGUAAACUGCUUUUGUACAGGAAGAAAAAAAGUUACGUGUAAUUUAUUGACGGUACUGUAAGAAUAAGGAUCGGCUAACUCCGUGCCAGCAGCCGCGGUAAUACGGAGGAUCCAAGCGUUAUCCGGAAUCAUUGGGUUUAAAGGGUCCGUAGGCGGGUUAUUAAGUCAGUGGUGAAAGUUUUCGGCUUAACCGAAAAAUUGCCAUUGAUACUGGUAGUCUUGAAUUAUUGUGAAGUAACUAGAAUAUGUAGUGUAGCGGUGAAAUGCUUAGAGAUUACAUGGAAUACCAAUUGCGAAGGCAGGUUACUACUAAUUGAUUGACGCUGAUGGACGAAAGCGUGGGUAGCGAACAGGAUUAGAUACCCUAG